rnacentral:rRNA from 1 species
AACGAACGCUGGCGGCAUGCCUAACACAUGCAAGUCGAACGAGACCUUCGGGUCUAGUGGCGCACGGGUGCGUAACGCGUGGGAACCUGCCCUUAGGUUCGGAAUAACUCCCCGAAAGGGGUGCUAAUACCGGCUAAUGUCUUCGGACCAAAGAUUUAUCGCCUUUGGGUGGGCCCGCGGUGGAUUAGCUAGUUGGUAGGGUAAAAGCCUACCAAGGCGACGAUCCAUAGCUGGUCUGAGAGGAUGGUCAGCCACACUGGGACUGAGACACGGCCCAGACUCCUACGGGAGGCAGCAGUGGGGAAUAUUGGAAAAUGGGCGAAGGCCUGAACCAGCAAUGCCGCGUGAGUGAUGAAGGCCUUAGGGUUGUAAAGCUCUUUUACACGGGAUGAUAAUGACAGUACCGGGAGAAUAAGCUCCGGCUAACUCCGUG